GAGGGCAGAACAACACAGAAGGAACCACCAUCGUGAGUGCCUAGACAAGAACAGAGCAUACACACUACAAACAGAAAACCCUUAGCGACUGUUGGUGGCAUAAGUGAACGACAAAAGACAUCAUAGAGGCUUAAGGAAUUCUGCGUAGAGAGAUAAUUCAAAGUUGCAUCAUUUCCUCCAAAAGCGUCAUUAAGGGAGACUGCACUGACGCCAACGUUCACUCAAGCACCAGCCAGAUUUUUGCUAUUACAAAUUGUUAUUAAAAAUUAAAUUAUGUUCAUU
rnacentral:lncRNA from 1 species